GACGAACGCUGGCGGCGUGCUUAACACAUGCAAGUCGAACGAAGUGGCGAACGGGUGAGUAACGCGUAAUCAACCUGCCCUUCAGAGGGGAACAACAGUUGGAACCGACUGCUAAUACCGCAUACUGAAGGAGGGGAUUGCGUCUGAUUAGCUAGUUGGAGGGGUAACGGCCAACCAAGGCGAUGAUCAGUAGCCGGUCGUGGAGGAUUAACGGCCCAAUUGGGACUGGGACACGGCCCAGGAUCCUACGGGAGGGAGCAGUGGGGAAUCUUCCGCAAUGGACGAAAGUCUGACGGAGCAACGCCGCGUGAGUGAUGACGGCCUUCGGGUUGUAAAGCUCUGUUAAUCGGGACGCGGUACCGGAAUAGAAAGCCACGGCUAACUACGUGCCAGCAGCCGCGGUAAUAC
rnacentral:rRNA from 1 species